rnacentral:rRNA from 1 species
GACGAACGCUGGCGGCGUGCCUAAUACAUGCAAGUCGAGCGAAGCGGGGACGGGUGAGUAACAGGUAGAAAACCGCCUAAAAGACUGGGACAAAUUGGGGAAACAGGAGGAAAACCGGCUAUUUAGAGAUGGCUGCGCGAUGCAUUCGCUAGUUGGUAAGGUAACGGCUUACCAAGGCAACGACGCAUAGCCGACCUGAGAGGGUGAUCGGCCACACUGGAACUGAGACACGGUCCAGACUCCUACGGGAGGCAGCAGUAGGGAAUCUUCCGCAAUGGGCGAAAGCCUGACCGAGCAACGCCGCGUGAGUGAUGAAGGUCUUCGGAUCGUAAAACUCUGUUAUUAGGGAAGCGGUACCUAAUCAGAAAGCCACGGCUAACUACGUGCCAGCCGCCGCGGUAAUAC